UACUUCCGCGCACCCCGCACACGUUCGACGAAACGCCGCGGCGCGCCCCCUCCCCCCCGCGUCCACUGAGAUUCGCCUCGCGUCCCCUCCGAUUCCUUCCCCCGCUCCCGCUCCCAUCUCGCGGACCCCGCCGAGAUCGGCCGCCGUCCCGCGGGAGCCCCCGGCUGGAUCUCCGCCUCUCGCAGCCGCCUUGAUGGUCGGGGAGCCGACGGGGCGGCGGCGGCGGCGGAGUAGGUAGCUUGCGGCGAUGAGCAGGCUCGCGACGGGGCUCCACCGGCUGCGGAGGUCAGCGUCGUCGCCGUGGGAGGUGCUGUGGUCCGCGCUCGCGUCAUGCGGCCUCGUGCUCUUCUCGCAGCUCGCCGUGGCCAUGGUGCCGCGGCUCUUCCCCUCCCUCUCGCUCCUCGCCAUGCUCCCCAUCGCGGGCCUGGUGUUCAUCCCGGCUAUCUUGCUGGGUCGGCUGUGGCGGAGGUUCAUCGGGGUGGCGGCGUCCGCGCCGCUCUUCGUGCUCUUCAACAUUCUCCUCCUGUGGGGCGUCUACGUCUUCGUCAUCCGGAGAGACACUUCUUCUCUGCUGGACAUGUUAAUAAAUGCAGAAUGUGCACUGCUUCUGUGGGGACUUUACAGAAUUUUGUCUGGUGAUCCUGGUAUUGUUGCUUGUGAUUCUUCAUAUUUAGAGGAAGAUGGCUGCAAGGAUUUUGUGGAGGCUAUUUACCCGAGUGAGCUCCCAAUGCUCUCUCGUGUCAGGCAGUGUAACUGGUGCAAAGCAAAUGUUAGGGGCUAUGACCAUCAUUGCCCUGCAUUUGGUACUUGCAUAGGACAGAAGAAUCAUCGGCUGUUUAUGGCCCUUUUGACAGGAUUUGUUGUUGCUGAAUCGACAUAUACAAUGUGCUCAACAAAAUAUAUUACCAGAUGCAUCAAUUCUGGAACUCUAAGAUCGGAGAAUCCUGUAUCUCUAAACAUGGUAAUCAGUACGAUGCUCUUCUCUAUCCUCCAGGUGCUCUGGCAGAUUGUGUUCUUGAUGUGGCACAUAUAUUGCAUCUGCUUCAACAUCAAGACAGAUGAGUGGGUAAUUUCAAAUUUCCCAUGCUUUGGACUCUUUCUUCAUCAAUUGCAGGUCGUCUUCUCGUUAGCUGUUUCUUGUAGCUAAAAGGUGAGGUUUUCCAGAUAAACUGGAAGAAAUAUCCUGAAUUCCAGAUGAGGGAACAGCCUCAAUCAGAUUUGGAAGUCAAAUUUGUAAACCCGUAUGACAAAGGCAUGCUAUGUAACAUUAGAGAAUUUCUGAAGCCAAAAUGAUACGAAGCCAAUUUUGAAGACCUGACCUGAUGGAACUGAACCAUGGGGAAUCAGAAGUGCAUCACGACUAAGAACACCACCCAGAAUUCUGGAGGCCUGGGUUCCUAGUUGCUACAAUAGCAUCUAUUGAGAUUCAUUGUUGUGAGCUUCAUUUGGACUCUGCUGUCUUAAUUUAAGGUGCAGUUAGCUUCUCUCUUUUUUUUUUUUGAGAAGUUGCUUUCUCUGGGCGUGAAAUCGUAGGCAAGUACACACCUUGUAGUUGUAGCUGUAGAAAGUUCCUAUAAAUAUUGGAGUUCACAUCGCGCUCCUUCAACUC